rnacentral:rRNA from 1 species
AGGGUUUGAUUAUGGCUCAGGACGAACGCUGGCGGCGCGCCUAACACAUGCAAGUCGAGCGUGAAGCUUUUGUUUGAUCCUUCGGGUGAUUUCAAAAGUGGAGAGCGGCGGACGGGUGAGUAACGCGUGGGAAACCUGCCCUAUACAGGAGAAUAGCCUCGGGAAACUGGGAUUAAUGCUCCAUGAAACUCUAGCACCGCAUGGUGCAUGAGUCAAAACUCAGGUGGUAUAGGAUGGUCCCGCGUCCCAUUAGCUAGUUGGUGAGGUAAAAGCUCACCAAGGCCACGAUGGGUAGCCGGCCUGAGAGGGUGAUCGGCCACACUGGAACUGAGACACGGUCCAGACUCCUACGGGAGGCAGCAGUGGGGAAUAUUGCACAAUGGGGGAAACCCUGAUGCAGCGACGCCGCGUGAGCGAUGAAGGUUUUCGAAUCGUAAAGCUCUGUCCUUGGAGAAGAAUUUUGACGGUAUCCAAGGAGGAAGCCCCGGCUAACUACGUGCCAGCAGCCGCGGUAAUACGUAGGGGGCUAGCGUUGUCCGGAAUCACUGGGCGUAAAGGGAGCGUAGGCGGCCCUGUAAGUCAGAUGUUAAAUCCUUUGGCUUAACCAAAGUAAGCAUUUGAAACUAUAGGGCUUGAGUACAGUAGAGGAGAGUGGAAUUCCUAGUGUAGCGGUGAAAUGCGUAGAUAUUAGGAAGAACACCAGUGGCGAAGGCGACUCUCUGGACUGUUACUGACGCUCAGGCUCGAAAGCGUGGGGAGCGAACAGGAUUAGAUACCCUGGUAGUCCACGCCGUAAACGAUGAGUGCUAGGUGUUGGGGCCGACAGGUCUCGGUGCCGCAGUUAACGCAUUAAGCACUCCGCCUGGGGAGUACGAUCGCAAGAUUGAAACUCAAAGGAAUUGACGGGGGCCCGCACAAGCAGCGGAGCAUGUGGUUUAAUUCGAAGCAACGCGAAGAACCUUACCAGGACUUGACAUCCCGCAGACUACCUUAGAAAUAAGGUUUUCUCUUCGGAGACUGCGGUGACAGGUGGUGCAUGGUUGUCGUCAGCUCGUGUCGUGAGAUGUUGGGUUAAGUCCCGCAACGAGCGCAACCCUUACUUUUAGUUGCCAGCAGUUAGGCUGGGCACUCUAGAAGGACUGCCGGUGACAAACCGGAGGAAGGUGGGGAUGACGUCAAAUCAUCAUGCCCCUUAUGUUCUGGGCUACACACGUGCUACAAUGGUCGGUACAACGGGUUGCUAACCUGUGAAGGGGAGCUAAUCCCGAUAAGCCGGUCCCAGUUCGGAUUGUAGGCUGCAAUUCGCCUACAUGAAGUUGGAGUUGCUAGUAAUCGCGGAUCAGAAUGUCGCGGUGAAUGCGUUCCCGGGCCUUGUACACACCGCCCGUCACACCAUGGGAGUUGGUAAUACCCGAAGCCAUCGAGCUAACCUUUGGAGGCAGAUGUCGAAGGUAGGACCAAUGACUGGGGUGAAGUCGUAACAAGGUAACC